GUGGUAUUUGUAUACCCUGCACUGAAGCUUUGUAGGUGAAGCUUUGCAAGUGAAGCUUUUGAAGCUGGAACUUUGUAAAUGAAGCUUUUGAAGUUGGAGCUCUUGAAGCUGGAGCUCUGUAAAUGAAGCUUUCGAAGUUGAUUGACAUGAGUGAUGCUCAUUAAUGUUUAUGUUGAUUGACAUGAAUGAUACUCAUGGAUGUUGGCAUGAGUGAUGGUCAAGAAUGUUUAUGUAUGAUUGGCAUAAGUGAUGCUCAUGAAUGUUUAUGUAUGAUUGACAUGAGUGAUGCUCAUGUAUAAUUUUGGAGUACUGGACGUACUUUUGAUCACCUGGUUGGUGAUAAUAGCGACAUGCUGCCGAAUAAUUUUGGAGUACUGGGCGUACUUUUGAUCACCUGGUUGGUGAUAAUAGCGACAGGA
rnacentral:lncRNA from 1 species